GGCCCAGGUCAGCCGCCACCGUCCCGCUGCAGCCCGUCAGCCUAACGCUGGGACGUGUUUGUUUUCCAGACGAAGAAAUGAAGGAGCCCACGGAGAGACGCCAACUGCCCAGGAGGAGGUGAGGACUCAUUUCGUAAAGCCAGAAGGCAUCCGAUCUCUAAGCCCGGCUCCCCGCUGGGCCUGAGAAACGGGGAUGACACGCGGCCAGUGACUCACUCCGACAGCAAGCCUGGUGCUCAGCACAGAGCCAGUGCCCGCCGUUCCAUCUGGUCUCCCCGGAGAGGAGGGAGGCGGCGCCGGGUCAUGUGCAGACAGCACGCUGGGUUUUGACAUCGGAGAAAACUUGAUCGCAGUCAUUGAGUACCUGCUGCUGAAAAGAA
rnacentral:lncRNA from 1 species